ACUGGGCAUGGUAGCAGACACCUGCAGUCCCAGCUACACAGGAGGCUGUGAGGAUCGCUUGAGUCCAGGAGUUCUGGGCUGUAGUGUUCUAUGCAGAUGGGGUGUCCACCCUAAGUUUGGAAUCAAUAUGGUGACCUCCUGGGAGCAGGAGACCACCAGGUUGUCCAAGGAGAAGUGAAUCAUUCCAGGUUCAAACAGAAGAGGUCAAGAUUUUUAUCUGAUCAGUAGUGGGAUUGUGCCUGUGAAUAACCACUGCACACUCCAGCCUGGGCAACAUAGCAAGACCCU
rnacentral:SRP_RNA from 1 species